rnacentral:rRNA from 2 species
UAGGGAAUAUUGUGCAAUGGGCGAAAGCCUGACACAGCCAUGCCGCGUGUGUGAAGAAGGCCCUAGGGUUGUAAAGCACUUUCAGCGGAGAAGAAAAGCCCGGAGUUAAAACCUCCAGGUCUUGACGUUACCCGCAGAAGAAGCACCGGCUAACUCCGUGCCAGCAGCCGCGGUAAUACGGAGGGUGCGAACGUUAAUCGGAAUUACUGGGCGUAAAGCGCGCGUAGGCGGUUCGUUAAGUGAGAUGUGAAAUCCCCGGGCUCAACCUGGGAACUGCAUUUCAAACUAACGGGCUAGAGUGUAGUAGAGGGAGGCGGAAUUUCCUGUGUAGCGGUGGAAUGCGUAGAUAUAGGAAGGAACACCAGUGGCGAAGGCGGCCUCCUGGACUAACACUGACGCUGAGGUGCGAAAGCGUGGGGAGCAAACAGG